GACCUUUUGGUAUUGUAUAAACAAACACAAAAUGAACACUUAAAUAAAGUUAAUAGGGCCAAACACACCACCAUUUGAAUUUCACAAAAUUAUAUUAGAGCACUCACACAAAAAAACAAAACUCUUCAACAAAUCAGUCCAGGUCCAUAAACAAAAAUAGUGCUCCGUUCCGGGUUUUCCUGUUUCUGAAUAUAGUUCAGUUUCAAACAGUCCAGUUCUCAAACAAAAAUAAUCCGCCUCGGGUUUUCCCGGAAUUCCAAACAAAACUAAAAAUAAGGAAGUCAGUUCAGCUUUUCACCGUCCUACCAACCCCAAAAGCCCAGUCAAAAAAGAAAAGAAAAGAUAACGAAAAGAGCACAGUGAAGUCACCCGGCUUUAGCCGACUCACGGUUCAGGGGAAGUGUGGAAACGUGCGUUGUCCGGAGUUGUAAACACGGACGGUUCGGUGUGUUCGUGGAGAUAAGAAGAGAGGCUGCAGUAUCCACGCCUCGAGGGCAACCAAGGUGGAUGUUAACAACGCGGACUGAAACGCGUGCUGAUGGCCAAGGAUAGGCUUACUACGGACAUGGAUGACUCACGAGGGUUUCUCUCCUGCUGUUCACCUGCCGGCGACUCCCGCCAUACUGAAUUAAAUCUCCUGGUACGAAAAACGGAAGAGGCUGGACUCCGAGGGAGUGGCAACGUGGAGCUAACUCACUGGCUGACUGGACUAGUGGGGUGUGGAAGUAGCCUGGAAGAUGGAGGAAACAAAUUGAGAACCUCGGUCAGAGAGAAUGUCCUCAGGUAUUCCCCAUCUGGUGACAAUCUCCUGGAUGAGAAUGCGUGAGAUGGAUUCAGCAGUGGUGUUCCUUAAAGGGAAGAGCUCCACCCAUCUGGAGUAAUAAUCCACAAAAACCAGUAGGUAAACAUUUCUGCUUGAACUCCUGGGGAACGGACCCAUUAAGUCCAUGCCCAACAUUUCCCAGGGACGGCAUACCAGUGUUUGCUGUAGUUUUCCAUCUGGUUUGCGGCUUUCAGGUGGCCAGCAAGGGGGUCUUCAUGGAAUGAUGUCAGAAAGUGGGAACGCAAGCUCUCAGGUGUGAGCCUUGAACUGCCUUCUCAAAAAGAUCUGUCAUGUCUGGUAAUUGAGGUUGUAAAAUCUCCGGAGCAUUUGCCAGGAAGAGGGCAACAUGGUUGCCAGCCCCCUCCCCCUCUGAUGUGCCGGGGUGACACGCUUGAAAAAAGUACCUCCCCGUCUCUCCGCGGAACCAGUAAGUGCCACCUGCCACAUCAAUGUGCAUCCCACUGAAAAACGCAAAAUCCAGUCCCAGUACAACAGAGAAUGCUAGUGCCUGAGGAGACAGCACAACCAUGGGUAUUAACCAGGUCUUCCCAUGCAGGCAGAUCUCCAUAUCUGUCCAUCCAAGAGGAUGCUCCUGUUUCCCAUUAGCCAGGUACAAGGGGACGCCUGACCAUGGGGUAAGUCUGGAUGCAGGUGGUUUAAUGCUCAUCCACAGGUUUUCAUUUAGCAAUGUGUAUGAUGAUCCUGUGUCCAGAAUGGCUGUCCCUUCCCAGGAGCCGAUGGUGAGAGGCACCUUUAACUGCUGUGGUAGCGGACUGCCGAAAGUGGGAGCAGCACUGUGCCUAUAGGCAGGCGUGAAGGAUAGACAGGGGGAAGGUGAUGGGGACUGCUCUACUGAUGGACCAAGAGCACUUGCAGAUGGAUGAGUCAUCCCUCCGGACCCUAAUUGCUGAUGUUGAUGUUGUGCCAAGGCCCGAGGUUUGUUCCUUUUCUGAUUAUUGAAAGUCGGACACGCAUAAGGAGGAUGGCUCCCUUUACAACGCCAACAACUCACUUGAGAGGAGGUGCUAGGUCGUGUAGUGGUUACAGACUGUGGUGGUGGAGAGGGUGUCUGUGUUGGUUCUCCUUUUUCCUUCAGUUUGCUCCCCUGCUUCUUCCGCAGGUCAUAUUGUGUCUGGCUCAGUUUGUCCUUCUCCAGCUGCUGCCCCAAUCUGACCAAUUCCUCCACUGUUUCCACCCUGCCUCGCAGUUGGCUGGCCAUACGGGGAUUGAUGUUCCUGAGGAUGAGUUUAAUGACAGCCUCCUCUGCAAUGUCAGGCCUCCAGCGACAGCAUAAUGAAUGAUACAGGUAAGCAAAGUCUCUUAUGCUCUCAUCCUCUCCUUGAACCCGUGUCCGCACUCUUUCUCCCAGCUCAUCCUCAUAGUCCUCAGACAGGAAAGCAGAAAGGAACUUGGACUGGAAGUCUUUCCAUGAAUGAGUAGUUGCACGAGUCACAUCCCACCAAUCCCUCGCAGUACCAAACAAGACAUUCCUGAAAGUCACCAUCAGUUCCCCAUCAGUCAGCAGAUUGAGAGCCAAGAAAUCUUUACAUCUGUCCAAGUACAACAGAGGGUCAGGUUUGCCCUCCAUCCUGCCAAAGGUAGGAAACUGCAGUUUAAGAGGACAUUUCCCCAUGAAACGGCGGCCCAAAUCCCCUGAAAUGGGAGAAUCAUCUGGUGAACACGGCGGACUCUCCAACACUCCUGCAUGCAUUGUCGACUGCAGCCGAUGCCGCUGGGGAAGCGCCGCCUGAUCACUACCAGGACUAGUUUGAACCGAGGCAUCGGCUAGUGCUGACACACGGAGACUCUGUGUUCUCAUGGUGGACAUUUCACCCACCAUCCCCUCCAAAUGUUGGGAGCACUUCCAGACCUCAAACUGUAAGUGCGUGAUAUUCUGUAACACAGGGCUUAGGGUUUCCUUCAUCGCCUUUAAUAGGUCUGCAUGGUGGCUUUGCAAGCGCCAGUUCAAUGUAACCGAGUACUGUUCGCGUACAUAAUUGAACUGUUUAUCCAUGGCCGAUCUCAACUGCUGCAGUUGCUCAUCAUAGUAUGUAGUAAGAUCUUUUGUUACAACACCUAGAGCAAGCUUGAGUUCAUCCUUAUGGUUGCUCUGUGCCUCUGAAAGGGACUGGAAUCCUUCCUGGAUGCUUAUAUGCAAAGAUUCCUGGGCCAAGUGCUUGAGCCCUGACCCAGUGGUGGCCUCCGAUGAAGCAGCACCACCUUGCGGCAGAGCGAGCAAAGGUCCUGUUUUGUGAGCCUCAGAGGGGAAGUUCAAGAUAUCCUCCAGAGCUGAAGCCAUCCUUUGUACUGAGACGCAAACACAACCCACAACCAAUAAUGAUUGUUUGCAGUUUUUUUUGUUUUGUUUGUUUUUUUGUUUUUUUUUAGUAUUUUAGGGUUCUUUUAACAUUGGGCGCCAUUUAUUUAUGUAGCGGUUUGGACAAUUUGAAUUACCCUCAACCCCACAAAGGAUACAUGGUUAACUCAUGACCCUAAAAAAAAUGCUUUCAAAAGACCUUCUGGUAUUGUAUAAACAAACACAAAAUGAACACUUAAAUAAAGUUAAUAGGGCCAAGCACACCACCAUUUGAAUUUCACAAAAUUAUAUUAGAGCACUCACACAAAAAAACAAAACUCUUCAACAAAUCAGUCCAGGUCCAUAAACAAAAAUAGUGCUCCGUUCCGGGUUUUCCUGUUUCUGAAUAUAGUUCAGUUUCAAACAGUCCAGUUCUCAAACAAAAAUAAUCCGCCUCGGGUUUUCCCGGAAUUCCAAACAAAACUAAAAAUAAGGAAGUCAGUUCAGCUCUUCACCGUCCUACCAACCCCAAAAGCCCAGUCAAAAAAGAAAAGAAAAGAUAACGAAAAGAGCACAGUGAAGUCAUCCGGCUUUAGCCGCCUCACGGUUCAGGGGAAGUGUGGAAACGUGCGUUGUCCGGAGUUGUAAACACGGACGGUUCGGUGUGUUCGUGGAGAUAAGAAGAGAGGCUGCAGUAUCCACGCCUCGAGGGCAACCAAGGUGGAUGUUAACGACGCGGACUGAAACGCGCGCUGAUGGCCAAGGAUAGGCUUACUACGGACAUGGAUGACUCACGAGGGUUUCUCUCCUGCUGUUCACCUGCCGGCGACUCCCGCCAAACUGAAUUAAAUCUCCUGGUACGAAAAACGGAAGAGGCUGGACUCCGAGGGAGUGGCAACGUGGAGCUAACUCACUGGCUGACUGGACUAGUGGGGUGUGGAAGGAGAGACCUAAAAAAUCUUGAAGAAGAGCGAGAGAAGAUUGCCCAAGAGAUGAGAAAAACAACCCCAAACCUGGCCUUCAUUGAUGAUGCAAUGAAUGCCACAUAUGCAUUGAAAAGACAGGAGAUUGUUGAAGAGGAGCCAUCUGUGUCUGAAAUGAAAGUCAGAUAGCCUGCGCUUUUUACUGAAAGACAGAUCAUCAAGGCUGAUGUCAAUACAUCUCAACUCUUCCUAUGAGGGUCUGGACAGUCAUCUGCUCAAACUCUGUCAGUUGUUCAGCUCAAAGCACUACAAGGGGAAUACAAGAAAUGACACCCCUGCUGGAGAGCCUUGACAAA